AGUAACGCGUGGGUAACCUGCCUUAUACAGGGGGAGUAACAGUCAGAAAUGGCUGCUAAUACCGCAUAAGCGCACAGAGCUGCAUGGCUCAGUGUGAAAAACUACCGGUGGUAUAAGAUGGACCCGCGUUGGAUUAGCUAGUUGGUGGGGUAACGGCCCACCAAGGCGACGAUCCAUAGCCGGCCUGAGAGGGUGAACGGCCACAUUGGGACUGAGACACGGCCCAGACUCCUACGGGAGGCAGCAUG
rnacentral:rRNA from 1 species